GACGAACGCUGGCGGCGUGCUUAACACAUGCAAGUCGAACGGUGAAGCGCCUUCCUUUUUGGUGGGUGUGGAUGAGUGGCGAACGGGUGAGUAACACGUGAGUAACCUGCCCCCUUCUUCUGGAUAACCGCAUGAAAGUGUGGCUAAUACGGGAUAUUCUGGGUCUGUCGCAUGAUGGGUCUGGGAAAGAUAUUGUUUCGGUGGGGGAUGGGCUCGCGGCCUAUCAGCUUGUUGGUGGGGUGAUGGCCUACCAAGGCGGUGACGGGUAGCCGGCCUGAGAGGGUGGACGGUCACACUGGGACUGGGACACGGCCCAGACUCCUACGGGAGGCAGCAGUGGGGAAUAUUGCACAAUGGGCGCAAGCCUGAUGCAGCGACGCCACGUGAGGGAUGGAGGCCUUCGGGUUGUGAACCUCUUUCGCCAGUGAAGCAGGCCUGCCUCGUUUGUGGGUGGGUUGACGGUAGCUGGAUAAGAAGCGCCGGCUAACUACGUG
rnacentral:rRNA from 1 species